AAGCGGCAAGAGCUCAAAUUUGAAAGCUGGCUCCUUCGGGGUCCGCAUUGUAAUUUGCAGAGGAUGCUUCGGGAGCGGUCCCCAUCUAAGUGCCCUGGAACGGGACGUCAUAGAGGGUGAGAAUCCCGUAUGGGAUGGGGUGUCCGCGCCCGUGUGAAGCUCCUUCGACGAGUCGAGUUGUUUGGGAAUGCAGCUCUAAAUGGGUGGUAAAUUUCAUCUAAAGCUAAAUAUUGGCCGGAGACCGAUAGCGCACAAGUAGAGUGAUCGAAAGAUGAAAAGCACUUUGAAAAGAGAGUUAAAAAGCACGUGAAAUUGUUGAAAGGGAAGCGCUUGCGACCAGACUCGCUCGCGGGGUUCAGCCGGCAUUCGUGCCGGUGUACUUCCCCGCGGGCGGGCCAGCGUCGGUUUGGGCGGUCGGUCAAAGGCCCUCGGAAGGUAACGCCCCUAGGGGCGUCUUAUAGCCGAGGGUGCAAUGCGACCUGCCUAGACCGAGGAACGCGCUUCGGCUCGGACGCUGGCAUAAUGGUCGUAAGCGACCCGUCUUGAAACACGGACCAAGGAGUCUAACAUCUACGCGAGUGUUCGGGUGUCAAACCCGUGCGCGAAGUGAAAGCGAACGGAGGUGGGAACCCUUACGGGUGCACCAUCGACCGAUCCUGAAGUCUUCGGAUGGAUUUGAGUAAGAGCGUAGCUGUUGGGACCCGAAAGAUGGUGAACUAUGCCUGAAUAGGGCGAAGCCAGAGGAAACUCUGGUGGAGGCUCGUAGCGGUUCUGACGUGCAAAUCGAUCGUCGAAUUUG
rnacentral:rRNA from 1 species